UUUUUUUUUCCUUUUUGGAACACAUAUGCAAUAUAUGGAAGCUUCUGGGCUAGGGAUUGAAUCAGAGCUGCAGCUGCUGGCUUAAGUCGCAGCAAUAUAGAUUUAAGCUGCAUGUGCAACCUAAACAACAGCUUGUGUCAGUGCCAGAACUUUCACCCACUGGCUGAGACCAGGGAACAAACCCACAUCCUCAGGGACACUCCAUAGGGUUCUUUUUCUUUUUUUAGGACCUCACCCAUGGUAUAUGGAAGUUCCCAGGUUAGGGGUCAAAUCAGAGUGAGGCCCGGGAUCAACCCACAAGUUCAUGGAUACUAGUCAGAUUCGUUUCCCCUGUGCCACAAGGGGAACUCUGUACGUUGGGUUCUUAAUGCACUGAGCCACAACAGACACUCCAGAAAUAGAUUUCCAAAAACAAAAAAAAGAAUAUUUUCUGCUUCAAGCACUCUUAUAUUUGUGAACCAAACAUUUUCAUAGAUACAGUGUGAUGACUAAUUAUCUGACUGACGUCUAACCAAAUAUGUGCUAUUUGGAAUGUGUUUUAGUCGAUACUUCACAUCUACUAUUAUGGGUGAUUUUGAUAUAAAUCUCAUCCAAAAGUGAAAACACAGAACACACUUCUGAGAAGCUUCAGGUUAAAAAGGACACAUUUAGAAAAGGAUGGUUCUUCAGGAAUCAAAGAAGAAUGAAGACUUUUAAUGAUUGUGGGGUAUAAGCUGUAUUCCACUGUGCAUUAAUUUAGUGAAGAAUUCUAUGAGUAAUUAGACAUAGUCUUACACCACUGAUAAGGGGAAAAUACACUUAACAUGUCACAGGUUAGUUCCUCCCAAAAUAAGGAUAUAAUGAAAUAAAUUUGAGGGUUACAUUUAGGAAGGUGCAUUAUGCUUUGACACAGUUACUUAGUCUGAACCUUCUAGGGUCAUGUUCCAAGGUUCCAUGGGAUUGGACAUUUAAAAGCAGAAAACAUACACUAUCUGUCCCCAUUGCUCUUAGAAUGUUGGCACCAAAUUCCAGUGUUUCCACGACUCUCCUCACUCACUUCUGAUUAGAUGAAGAAGCAGAGCGUGAAAAAAGACCUUAACAAAGAGUUACUAGGAAAUGUGCACAGCCUUUCCUAGCACCCAAAAGCAAUGGAAAAAAAGCCAGGUGGGAGUUCCCAUCAUGGCUCAGAGGAAACAGAUCCAACUAGUAUCCAUGAGGACAUGGAUUCAAUCCCUAGCCAUACUCAGUGGGCUAAGGAUCCAGUGUUGCCAUGAGCUGUGGUGUAGGUUGGGAAUGCUGCCAGGAUCCCAAAUUGCCAUGGAUGUGGUGCAAUGGAUGUAGACUGGCAGCUACAGCUCUGAUUCGACCCUUAGCCUGGGAACGUCCAUGUGCCCCAGGUGUGGCCCUAAAAGACUCAGAAAAGAAAAAAAAAAAUUAAAAAAACAACAAAAAAAACCCAAGAACAUCUGGGCAAGUUCCCAUUGUGGAAAAGUGGUUAAUGAAUCUAACUAGGAACCAUGAGGUUGUGGGUUCGAUCCCUGGCCUUGCUGAGUGGGUUAAGGAUCACAAGUUGCCAUGAGCUGUAGUGUAGGUAGCAGAUGUGGCUCAGAGCAUACAUUGCUGUGGCUCUGGCGUAAGCUGGUGGCUACAGCUCCGAUUUGACCCCUAGCCUGAGAAGCUCCAUAUGCCCCAGGAGCAGCACUAGAAAUGGCAAAAAGGCAAAAAAAAACCAAAAACCAAAAUAAAGAAUAGCCAAGACAUACAGGUCCUCACAGGUCA
rnacentral:lncRNA from 1 species